UGAGCAAUGUUCCACCAUUGACAAGAUUCUUUGUUGUCAAUACUUAUGAGCAACAACUCAAUGUAGACAACCCGUUAGGAAUGAGAGGUGAAAUUGCAAGGGCCUAUGCAGAUCUUAUCAAGCAAAUGUGGUGUGGUCGCUAUAGUUACACAGUUCCUAGAAAUUUCAAAAUGCAGGUUGGCCGUUUUGCGCCUCAGUUUUCCGGAUACCAGCAGCAGGAUUCCCAAGAG